CAAUAGCGUAUAUUAAAGUUGUUGCAGUUAAAAAGCUCGUAGUUGGAUUUCUGGUUGAAGCGACCGGUCGGGCGUUGAUUCGUCUGCACUGGAGUCGGUUUUGGCCAUCCUCUAGGAAAGUGCGUCUGGUAUUAAGUUAUCGGGCGUAUGAUCCUGGUCUUUUACUGUGAAAAAAUUAGAGCGUUUAAAGCAGGCCUUCGCCUUGAAUACAUUAGCAUGGAAUAAUAAGAUAGGACUUUGGUCUAUUUUGUUGGUUUGCAGACCGAAGUAAUGAUUAAUAGGGAUAGUUGGGGGUAUUUAUAUUCCGAUGUCAGAGGUGAAAUUCUUAGAUUUUCGGAAGAUAAACUUAUGCGAAAGCAUUUACCAAGGAUGUUUUCAUUAA
rnacentral:rRNA from 1 species